AUUCACUCUGCUGACUACCUCCAGCAGAAGGGAGGAAAUAGGCAACUGGCAUCUGUUAUGCUAACACAACUGUUUCUGACCACAGGUUGUGUUGAAAACUUACACUAGUUGGGGGAUUUCUCAUUCAGGUCAUGCACCUUGAGUGGACAACAAACACUUCAGAAAGGGGAAUAAUUGUAGAGAAGCACAAAUAACCAAUGGUGAAUAAGGAACACCCUUGUUCACACACAAAUGCCCUUGUUUGCACAUGAAUAUGGGUUUUUGUAUGAAAAAGACCCAUUCUCCAAACAUCCAUGUGAAGAGAAACCCAUUCAGCAUGAAUGUUUGUGAACACUGAAUAACAAGUGGAUGAACAAGCCUGAAUCAAACAGCCGUUCAGACUUUGAACCAAUGUUCGCAAACACUGGUUUGCAUUAUUCACCCAGUCCUGUGAACAGCCAUCUGUUCAAUAACUGAUAAUGGACAUGGAAGUUGGGUUGUUGGGUAGAUAUGGCUCAUCAGGGAGACAAUAGCUAUCUAUUUGCAGGAUUUCUACUUAGUCCGUUGCAGGCGUAGCCUCUGUUCCUGUUGACCUGUGAUAUCCUGUUUUUCUUCUACUGUCAACAUUAGGUUUUGCUUAAUAUAUAAUUUGAAAUAAAGUUGUGUAUACACAUAUACAGACGUGAACACACCUACACACGUA